UAUGUUCAGACUCGUCCUUUCGGGGAGCGCGAUCGACAUGUGAACGGCUCAUUAGCAGACGAGGUUCCUUGGUUCCUAUCGGGUCCGUAAAAUGGWUAACUGUGGUAAUUCUAGAGMUAAUACAUGCUACGCACGCAACCCCGCUCGAAGGGGUGCAGGUAUUUAUUCUCUACAAUGACGGCCCGAGCUCUUCAAUUGAAUUUUKAAUUCAGGAGAGUGCCGUGGGUAAGUGUUGAAAUCUGAUUAACUUUGUCGAUCACGCAAGUGACUCCAUCAUGAAGUGUCUGUCCCAUCAAUUGACGAUGGUCGGCGCCCUGCCUACCACGGUGACGACGGGUAACGGGGAAUCAGGGUUCGAUUCCGGAGAGGGAGCCUGCGAAACGGCUACCACCUCCAAGGAGGGCAGCAGGCGCGCAACUUACCCAAUCCCGACUCGGGGAGGUAGUGACGAAAAAUAUCGCGGCGGGAYUGU
rnacentral:rRNA from 1 species